GCAAAAUAUACUUGCAGGGAGUCAGGGAAUCUUUUUCUCAUCAGUUAUCCGUGCUUCGUAUUUGAUUUUAUGCCUUUUGAUAACUGCAGAGAUAUUCGUCAUUGAGAUCCCAGCACUUUUACUAGGCAGAAG